rnacentral:rRNA from 1 species
CCUACGGGAGGCAGCAGUGGGGAAUCUUGCGCAAUGGGCGAAAGCCUGACGCAGCCAUGCCGCGUGAAUGAUGAAGGUCUUAGGAUUGUAAAAUUCUUUUACCAGGGACGAUAAUGACGGUACCUGGAGAAAAAGCCCCGGCUAACUUCGUGCCAGCAGCCGCGGUAAUACGAAGGGGGCUAGCGUUGCUCGGAAUUACUGGGCGUAAAGGGAGCGUAGGCGGGUUGACAAGUUGGAGGUGAAAGCCCAGGGCUCAACCCUGGAAUUGCCUUCAAAACUGUCAGCCUUGAGUAUGGAAGAGGUAAGUGGAACUCCGAGUGUAGAGGUGAAAUUCGUAGAUAUUCGGAAGAACACCAGUGGCGAAGGCGACUUACUGGUCCAUGACUGACGCUGAGGCUCGAAAGCGUGGGGAGCAAACAGGAUUAGAUACCCUGGUAGUCCACGCCGUAAACGAUGAUUGCUAGUUGUCGGGCAGUAUACUGUUCGGUGACGCAGCUAACGCAAUAAGCAAUCCGCCUGGGGAGUACGGUCGCAAGAUUAAAACUCAAAGGAAUUGACGG